rnacentral:misc_RNA from 1 species
AACGCACAUUGCGCCCUCUGGUAUUCCAGGGGGCAUGCCUGUUCGAGCGUCAUUACAACCCUCACGCCUAGCGUGGUCUUGGGCUCGCCCUGUGGGGCCUGCCUCAAAGUCAGUGGCGGCGUCGUCUGACCCCUAAGCGUAGUAAAAUACACCUCGCUUCUGGGCGUUGGAUGGAGGCUUGCCGUGAACCCCCCAACUUUACAGGUUGACCUCGAAUCAGGUAGGGAUACCCGCUGAACUUAA